rnacentral:tRNA from 1 species
AGAGGUACAGCUUAAGUGGUAGAGCCAAUGCUUAGCAUGCACAAGGUCCUGGGUCCAAUUCCCAGUACCUCCU